ACGACGUCAUGUUUCUGAUAAGGUAAAGUCUUUAUUUUAUUUUGUUUUCGAAUAGCAAUUAAUAUGUUAUUUGCUUUUAAAAAAUACAACAAUGUUUGAUGUUUACAAGGGAGGCAGCACGAUCGCGAAAAGCCACUUCACCUCAAUGAAAAUAAUAAAAAUAAAACUCCCACACACCGCGAACAGAGCCAAACGUGUACUUAUUGUGCGUAAAUACCAUUCAGGCGAUCACAUUAAAGGUGGGAAUAACAACUGGUGGAAACGAAUAAACGAAAGUGAUACUUGGAAAAGAACCGCUGUAAAUUUUCUGCUUGCUGCAUAUGGACAGCUAAGGAGGAACUGAUGGAGAUUUAUUGGAAACAUUGUCCACCCAGAGACGGAGCAACAUCUCAAAUCCCGGCUUGCUCACAACCCUCAAACGGAGAAAUUGAGAGGGUUUGACUUUACCCAUAACGAAUGGGAAAAGUGACUAUUUCUUCAAGGUGAAACUGAAACCACCAACCUAAGGUAUUGUGACAAAAUAUCCAGAGGAAUGUCAUCAAACCGGACUGACCAGGAGCAAGACUCUGCUACCUGGCCUAUUUUAUGAUGAAUAAUUAGACAUUCACGUUGACACUGACAUCCGUUUGGGGAAGCCGUGAGGGUCUUGUAGGUUCAAAAUGGUAUCAGUAUUUCACGUGAUUAUUUGAGAGAUUAAAUUGAACCAGGCCUAAUGUUAUUGAUGGAUCAUCCACUGGAAGAUCGGUGAUAGUGGAGAGGUCGGUGCGGCGAUCGAUCAGGGCGCGGACGGACGAGGAUAGACCACGUGAG